rnacentral:rRNA from 1 species
AGAGUUUGAUCCUGGCUCAGGAUGAACGCUGGCGGCGUGCUUAACACAUGCAAGUCGAACGAUCCUUCGGGAUAGUGGCGGACGGGUGAGUAACGCGUGGGAAUCUGCCCUCAGGAGGGGGAUAACGGCUGGAAACGGCCGCUAAUACCCCAUAUGCCGAGAGGUGAAACGAAUUUCGCCUGAGGAUGAGCCCGCGUCUGAUUAGCUAGUUGGUGGGGUAAAGGCCUACCAAGGCGACGAUCAGUAGCUGGUCUGAGAGGAUGAUCAGCCACACUGGGACUGAGACACGGCCCAGACUCCUACGGGAGGCAGCAGUGGGGAAUUUUCCGCAAUGGGCGAAAGCCUGACGGAGCAACGCCGCGUGAGGGAUGAAGGCCUCUGGGCUGUAAACCUCUUUUCUCAAGGAAGAAGAACUGACGGUACUUGAGGAAUAAGCCACGGCUAAUUCCGUGCCAGCAGCCGCGGUAAUACGGGAGUGGCAAGCGUUAUCCGGAAUUAUUGGGCGUAAAGCGUCCGCAGGCGGCCUUGUAAGUCUGUUGUUAAAGCGUGGAGCUCAACUCCAUUUAAGCAAUGGAAACUACAAGGCUGGAGUGUGGUAGGGGCAGAGGGAAUUCCCGGUGUAGCGGUGAAAUGCGUAGAUAUCGGGAAGAACACCAGUGGCGAAGGCGCUCUGCUGGGCCAUAACUGACGCUCAUGGACGAAAGCCAGGGGAGCGAAAGGGAUUAGAUACCCCUGUAGUCCUGGCCGUAAACGAUGAACACUAGGUGUCGGGGGAAUCGACCCCCUCGGUGUCGUAGCCAACGCGUUAAGUGUUCCGCCUGGGGAGUACGCACGCAAGUGUGAAACUCAAAGGAAUUGACGGGGGCCCGCACAAGCGGUGGAGUAUGUGGUUUAAUUCGAUGCAACGCGAAGAACCUUACCAGGGUUUGACAUCCUGCGAAUCCCUUGGAAACGAGGGAGUGCCUUCGGGAGCGCAGUGACAGGUGGUGCAUGGCUGUCGUCAGCUCGUGUCGUGAGAUGUUGGGUUAAGUCCCGCAACGAGCGCAACCCACGUCUUUAGUUGCCAGCAUUCAGUUGGGCACUCUAGAGAGACCGCCGGUGAUAAACCGGAGGAAGGUGUGGAUGACGUCAAGUCAUCAUGCCCCUUACAUCCUGGGCUACACACGUACUACAAUGCUACGGACAAAGGGCAGCAAGCUCGCGAGAGUUAGCAAAUCCCAUAAACCGUGGCUCAGUUCAGAUCGUAGGCUGCAACUCGCCUACGUGAAGGAGGAAUCGCUAGUAAUCGCAGGUCAGCAUACUGCGGUGAAUACGUUCCCGGGCCUUGUACACACCGCCCGUCACACCAUGGAAGUUGGCCAUGCCCGAAGUCGUUAC